AUAUCAUGUUGAGGGCAAUUCCUUAACAACCCCUUGUAGCGCUCCCAAGCUUCAUAUAAUGACUCCCCCGGUUGUUGCUCAAAGUUUUCUAUUGCCUUCAUGAGUUU